rnacentral:rRNA from 1 species
GGGGUAUAAAUUUAAUAAAUAGUUUAAAAAUUUUUAAUAUGGGGGUAUUAAAUUAUUUUUAGGGAAAUAAUUUUUUUUUAAUUUUUUUUUAAUUUUUUUAAUUUAAAAAAAAAAUUAUUUAUAUAAUUGGGGAAGAUUUUGAAAUAAUCAAAUUAGAUCUUGUAUAUAAAGUAUUUCAUUUACAUUGAAAGGAAAUUAAAAUAAUUUAAUUAAUUUGAGGGGGUAAAUUAAUAAAUUAUAAAUAAAAGAAGAAUUUUUAAUGUAUUGGGGAAUUAAAGUAUUUUUAAAGAAAAAAUAGCAAUUUUUAUAGUUAAUUAGUAUUAUAAAAGAAAUUUGAAAUAUAUGAAAAAUAAAAUUAAUAAAAAAGUAAUUUUUAUUUAAUGUAUCUUGUGUAUCAGAGUUUAUUAAAAAUUAUUUUUUAAAUAAAAAAAUUUCGAAUUUCAAAGAGUUAAUUAAUUAAAAAAUUUAAUGUUGAAUAAUUAUUUUAAAUAAUUAAUUAGAAAUGAAAUGUUAAUCGUUUUAAAAGAUAUCUAGUUUUUUUAGAAAAAAAUUUAAUUUAAAAUUUAAAAAAUUUUAUUAUAAAUUUUUGAAUAAUAAAAUAUUUAAAAUUAAAUAUAUUAUGGGAUAAGCUUUAAUAUAAAUUUUUAUAAUUAAUUAAAUAAAAAAUAAAAAUUUUAAAAUUUAUAUUAUUUAUAAAUUAUAGUUUAUUAUAAAAAAAUUUUUUUAAAAAUAAAAUUUAAUAAAAUUUAAUUUUUUAUAAAAAAAAUAAUUUUUAAUAAUUAAAAAUUAAAAAUAAUGAUAAAAUUAGUAUAUAAUUUAAUAAUAAAAUGUAAAAUUUAAAAAAAUUAAAUUAAAGGAAUUCGGCAAAUUUUUAUAUUCACUUGUUUAUCAAAAACAUGUCUUUUAGGAUAAUAAUUUAAAGUCUAAUCUGCCCACUGAUAUAAAUUAAAGGGCUGCAGUAUAUUGACUGUACAAAGGUAGCAUAAUCAAUAGUCUUUUAAUUGAAGACUCGUAUGAAAGAUUUGAUGAAAUAUAAACUGUCUCUAAUUUAUAUUUAGAAAUUAAUUUUUUAGUUAAAAAGCUAAAAUUUAUUUAAAAGACGAGAAGACCCUAUAGAGUUUUAUAUUAUUAUUAUAUAAAAUUAUAUUUAUAAAUAAAAAUUAAAAAUAAUAUUAAUAUUUUGUUGGGGUGAUAGAAAAAUUAAAAUAACUUUUUUUAAAUUCUUAACAUAAAUAAGUGAAAAUUUGAUCCAUAAUUAAUGAUUAAAAGAAAAAAUUACCUUAGGGAUAACAGCGUAAUAUUUUUUUUAGUACAUAUAAAAAAGAAAGUUUGCGACCUCGAUGUUGGAUUAAGAUAAAAUUUAAAUGCAAAAGUUAAAAAUUUUGAUCUGUUCGAUCAUUAAAAUCUUACAUGAUCUGAGUUCAAACCGGUGUGAGCCAGGUUGGUUUCUAUCUUAAAUGAAUAAAAUAUUUUA